rnacentral:rRNA from 1 species
AAUAGAUACCCGGGUAGUCCACGCCGUAAACGAUGAGUGCUAAGUGUUAGGGGGUUUCCGCCCCUUAGUGCUGCAGCUAACGCAUUAAGCACUCCGCCUGGGGAGUACGGUCGCAAGACUGAAACUCAAAGGAAUUGACGGGGGCCCGCACAAGCGGUGGAGCAUGUGGUUUAAUUCGAAGCAACGCGAAGAACCUUACCAGGUCUUGACAUCCCGCUGACCGGCCUAGAGAUAGGUCUUUCCCUUCGGGGACAGCGGUGACAGGUGGUGCAUGGUUGUCGUCAGCUCGUGUCGUGAGAUGUUGGGUUAAGUCCCGCAACGAGCGCAACCCUUGAUCUUAGUUGCCAGCAUUCAGUUGGGCACUCUAAGGUGACUGCCGGUGAUAAACCGGAGGAAGGUGGGGAUGACGUCAAAUCAUCAUGCCCCUUAUGACCUGGGCUACACACGUGCUACAAUGGACGGUACAGAGGGUCGCAACCCCGCGAGGGUGAGCUAAUCCCAUAAAACCGUUCUCAGUUCGGAUUGUAGGCUGCAACUCGCCUA